rnacentral:snRNA from 1 species
UUGCUUUAGCAGCACAUAUACUAAAAUUGGAAUGAUAUAGACAUUAGCAUGGCCCCUGCACAAGGAUGACAUAGAGAUUAGUGAAAUGCUCCAUACUUUU